CAGACUUUGGGCGUGUGUGUGUGUGUGUGUGUGUGUGAGUGAGUGACUGGGAAUUGAACCCAGGCCUUCACACUGAGCUAUAUCCCCAACCCUGUUUUAAUUUUUAAAUUUUGAAAAGGUCUCACUAAGUUGUCCAGGCUGGGUUUGGAUUUUCAGUUCUCUUGCCUCAGCCUCCUGAGUAGAUGAGAUUACAGGCAUGCACCCCUGUGCCUAGCUGACAGGUUCUUUUUUAAUGACUUGCCAAACCAGGCACAGGGCCACAUGCCUGAAGUCUCAGUACUUUGGAAGCUGAGACAAGAAGAUUGUGAAUUCAAGACCAGUCUGGACUACAUGUUCAAAAAAAUGAAAACAAACAAAAGAACCUAUUUGGCAAAAUUAAAGUUGGUACACCAUUGUCAACCUUCUAAAAUUAAUUUGGAACUUUACCAUUUGGAUGAAAUGUCAGUCUCAGAAUCCCUGGAGGAAUGCAUUUCCAACAAGCUUGGAAACAAACUGGGUUUCCUGUCUGUUCCUGACUCUCCUUCUGCAUGGUCCAGCUCCCCUGAUCAUAUACGGGGUAGUGAAGAAGACUUGAUAGCACCAUCAUCACGAUUCGGCUGUUUCCCGGGACAGUAAGAAGGUCCAGAUAAAGCUGCAACACACUUCCAGUUCCAUUUUCCUGGGGACCCAAAGUGCUGCUCAAAGAGGCGGGAGAACGAGACAAGACAGGGACACUCAGAGCUGCCCCGGAGAGUUCAUCUGUUUAUGCAGAGGUGAGGACAGUUUUCAGAGUAAAUAGGAUUGUAAAAUGGGGCUACGGAUGUAGCUUAGUAACACCCAAACCACACAUUUUCCUUGUAGAACAAAAACAAGAAUCCGUUAUAGUUCUACCACCUAGAAAUUCCCACGGUUAAUAUUUUGAUUAAUAUUCUUCCAAGGAUGAAUGAAUGGUUGAUGGGUGGACAGACAUACACACAAAUACCCAAUACUAUUAUAUGCAUGGGAAUGUAUUUAAGAACCUAUUACGACUAGUGGCUAUCUACGGAGCAGGAGUUGAUGAAAUAGUAAUAAAAGGAUACUGAGUUUUAUAUACAAACACAUGACUUGGAUUUUUCAUAAUUACAUGACCGUAUUACUUAGUGUCUCUUUUUCUAAAAUCGCGAGACCAAUGCAAUCAUUCUUGAGAGUAAUGAGGCGAGGUGAGGUGCUUUCCUGGGCAUGCUGAGGGUGAGAGGGGCGCCUCCUAGCGAGGGAGCGCAGGCCCGGCUCAGAGGGGAGCCGAGCCGAGCGGGAGGUGGCGCCCCCGACCGGAGGUGGAGCAGCGGCGGAAAUCUCGGCGGGAAGAGGCAAGGCGCCUGCGCCCGGGGCGGGCCUGGGAGC
rnacentral:lncRNA from 1 species